rnacentral:lncRNA from 1 species
CGUUGCCAAGGACACUGUGUAUGAAUGGUAUGUAUGUGUAUAAGAGAAAUAUAAAGUUGGAGUCACCUCUAAAAUUUUUAAAACAGAUCUGGCCACUCAAGAAGACUCCUUCAGAGAAGGCUGCUCAGUUACCAGCACACUUGAGAAUAGUGAAUCUGGAAUUAUGUUAACAUAUUGGAACUUUCCAUGGAGUCUGAAAUGGUGAAACAGCAAUUUAAAUUGUAGACUUUCAAAACUGUCAAAAAAAAUUGAUGAUGUACUCCUGCUUGCCAGGAAGGGGCUUAUGCAACACCUUUGGGCUGAAUAUAAGAGGCCAAUAAAAAUGGAAAUUCUGGGGGGAAUUCCAUGAAAUCUGUAAUUGAAGUGGUCCCAUUCUUCUAUUGCUGUCAAGCAGGCCAUUUUGACAUCUAUUAACUAAUAUAGGCUCUUUGAAGACAGUGGAAUACUGUUUGUCUCCAUACUGUCAAUGCCCAGCGUAAUCUCUGACAAAUGAAUUUCGCUCUUGUCGCCCAGGCUGGAGUGCAAUGAUGCGAUCUCGGCUCACUGCAACCUUCGCCUCCUCGGUUCAAGUGAUUCUCCUGCCUCAGACUCCCGAGUACCUGGGAUUACAGGCAUGUGCCAGCACGCCUGUAUUUUUGUAUUUUUAGUAGAGACGGGGUUUCACCAUGUUGGCUAGGCUGGUCUGGAACUCCUGACCUCAGGUGAUCCGCCCGCCUUGGCCUCCCAAAGUGCUGGGAUUACAGGCAUGAGCCAUCGUGCCCGGCCUGUUGUAAUUUCCUUCUCUAUACUAAAAGGUGUUUUAUACAUAUAAAGUAUUUUUCUUUAUUAUAAUGAGAAAUAAAUCUUAUAAAAAUAUUUGGGUACCAGGAAAGGAUUUUAAAUUUUUACAUAGAAAAUUAUAAAAGAAAAAAGUUGGCUGAAAAGGUUUUCUGCUCCUGAAAUAGUUACUCUUAUAGUCAACAAUAUGAGGAAAUCACAGCAUGCUGAAACAAGGCGGCUACAUUUAGAAGAAUGCAAUGGACAAAUUGAAACUGAGGGGGAUUCUUAGGCAGUCAGUAUGAAUAUGACAAAUGAACUCACAGUCUGGUUCUUUUCUUUCUUCCUGUUUUCCAUCACUGCCAUUGGCUGCUAAGACCAUUUAGAUGAAGGUUAAUGGGAAAACUUUAUAUUGAAUAAAUAAAACAACUGAAGCUGCUGAUCAAUCUUAGUAUCACUAAAUAUGGAACAGCCAAACAAGAUGUGUCUCCUGAUGUGAUGCAAUAGAAAGUACGUAACACUAACGAUGAAGUAUUUUUGCCAAAAGACAAAAAUAAACAAACACAUAAUAAUAACUUAACUCUCAUAAAUUUCUAGAUCUACCAGCUUUUAGGAAAUACUUGGGAUGGGUGUAUUAAAUGGCUCUCUGAGGGUAUCAUCAGGUAAAUCUAGAAAUUUAUCCUACAGAAUCUAUCUGUAUUUUAUAGGAUAAAUUACCUGGUUUCUUAAAUAAAUAAAAAUGAUAUGAAAUUUUAAAGCUGGAGGGGAAACCAUCAUAUAUUUAAAACAACCUAAGAGACACAUCAAGCAAAUGCAAAUGUGUUAAAUUUGUUUAGAUUCUGAAUUGAAGAAACUGAUAUAAAGAAUUUUUCAGCCAACUGCAGAUAUAUGAAUGGGGACAAUUAUAGAUGUUAUUUUGAAAAAACAAAACAAAACCCCAUAACUGUUAGAAAUAACGAACUCCUGGAAUUUGCUUUAAAAUUCUCCAGCUAGGGUAUGUGUGGGUGGGGUGUGCAUGUUCAUGUUUAUGUGUGUAUAGAUGAAACAAAAUUGGUAAAAUGUUGAUAAUUAUUCACUUUGUGAUGAGUACAUGGGGAUUCCUUAUACUCUACUCUCCACUUCUAGAUAUGUUUGAAAUUUUGCAGGAAAAAAAAGCUUAAAAAUGGCUUAUUUUCUAAGCAUUGUACUCUCUCUACAAAGAACCUGAUUAUCCAGGUUCUUUGUACUCUCUGUACAAAGAACCUGAUCACCUGAGGCUGUAAACUCAAUAUUUAUAUUACAAUACAAAUAAAUAUAAUUAUUCUUCUUAAUCGUGGAUAGAUGCCAACAUUUAAAAAAGCAGUUCCUUUUUUUGCUUUGGAAAAUUUUAUAAAAUCUCUCUAGUUGAGGAUCAAGGAAGCUUUAUCCCAGUUCUUCAUCUCUUUGGUAUGCAUUAGAAUCCUCAAGUUUUCUGCUAAUGAAAGGAACUUGUUUCACAAUGGGCAGAGUGUUGGCCUCAUUCCAUUGACUCUUGGUUUACUCAGAUUGGCUUUUUACAGAGCAUAAAGUAAUUACAUUAAGUGCCAACCCAUCACUUUAUUUUAGUAAGAUAAAUUGCCUCAAGAAUCCCUAAAGAGAAUAUCUUACUUAUAAGAUACAACUUUCUUUAAGGGAAUAUCCCAUGUACUUAGAUUAAAACCCAGUGUAAAAUGUGCUUUAAAUGAGGCACUUUUAAAUUUCUGACCUGGUUCCUGGGUAUUUCUUCCCUUUAAGUGCAGAUUUUUUCCCUCCUGGUAAAAACAGAAAAACCCUUCUAAAAUGUGGAAGAAAUUGCAAAUGAUCUUCCGCACCAGCUACCUUUACCUCUUAUCUACGUUUAAUUCAAUACAUCAAAAUGUGAUUUGUAGCAAAUGUAAGGGGUCUUAAAUAUUGAACAGGAAUUAAGACGUAGAUUACAAUGUUCUACUGAUGUACUAACUCAGGAAUGUAGGUCAACUGUUUUAUAUUAUUAUGACAGGUUCUUCUUUUAUUAAUGUAUGCUUUGACAAUG